rnacentral:lncRNA from 10 species
UUUAAUCUUUUUGAGCUCACCCAAAGAUUAAAAAGCCUUCUGUGAGAUACUGGUGACAGCUCUGGACCUUCUUUCCAGAAAAAUUCACUUAUGCACAUAUACAUAGUAUUGUACACAACUUCAGAAGAGGCUUCUAGGACCUACCGAAGCCCAUCCUCUAGUAGUCCACAGACUCCAGGGACUACAAGGGAAGAAUGCAGACAAUCAAAUGUGUGGUUGUAGGAGAUGAGGCUAUAGGUAAAACCUGCCUCCUCAUCAGUUAUACAACAAAUGUCUUUCCUGAGGAGUAUAUCCCCCCACUGUCUUUGACAACUAUAGCGUCCAGACAUCCGUGGAUGGGCAAAUCAUUAGCCUGAACACGUGGGACACUGCUGGCCAAGAGGAGUAUGAUGACUGCGAACACUCUCCUAACCCCAGACCAGUAUCUUUGUUAUUUGUUUUUCCACUGGGAACCCAUCCUCUUAUGCCAAUGUGAGGCAUAAGUGGCACCCAGAGGUCUCCCAUCAUUGCCCCAAUGUGCCUGUUCUGCUGGUAGGCACCAAGAGGGACCUGUGGAGUAACCUUGAGACAGUGAAGAAGCUGAAGGAGCAGAGCCUAGUACCCACGACUCCCCAGCAAGGCACUUCCCUGGCUAAGCAGUUGGGGGCUGUGAAGUAUCUGGAAUAUUCGGCCCUGAUGCAGGAUGGGGUGCAUGAGGUAUUUUUAGAAGCUGUCCGGGCUGUGCUUUACCCUGCUACAAAGAACACCAAGAAGUACAUCCUCUUAUAGCUUCUAGGUGCUACUUGGGGACUGCAACUAAGAAGUAUAAGGGUGAUAUUCCUUUGUCAGCAGUUAAAGAGUGCCAGCAUGGGCUAUUGCAGAAACCCUAGACUGCAGGAUAUUCAGCUCUUGGAGGAACAAAGACAGACUUGUUUGUACAUGGCUGCUUUGAAGUUUGGUCUGACCUUUUGGAGGAAGGUGUGUGUGUGUGUGUGUGUGUGUGUGUGUGUGUGUGUGUGUGUGUGUGUGUGUGUGUGUCUCCCUUGUCAAAGUGGUAAGAGGAGGUGCCACUCAGUGCUGUUCUUUUCUCUCCUGGCCAGGCAAUGACUAAGCAGAGCAGCUUAGGACUGUUCAUUGUAGACUUUUGCUUGUCUGCUUUUAAAUCUAAUUGGAGCUUUCCUUGCUAUAUUUACCACUGAGCAAGUGCCUCAUGGAAGGACAAGUUUAUCCGGUUUUAUUUAUUAUUAUUAUUAUUGUUAUUAUUAUUUUUUUGAGAUGGAGUUUCUU